rnacentral:rRNA from 1 species
CGACCGCUGGCGGCAUGCCUAACACAUGCAAGUCGACCGAGACCUUCGGGUCUAGUGGCGCACGGGUGCGUACCGCGUGGGAACCUGCCCUUAGGUUCGGAAUAACUCCCCGAAAGGGGUGCUAAUACCGGAUAAUGUCUUCGGACCAAAGAUUUAUCGCCUUUGGAUGGGCCCGCGUUGGAUUAGCUAGUUGGUAGGGUAAAAGCCUACCAAGGCGACGAUCCAUAGCUGGUCUGAGAGGAUGAUCAGCCACACUGGGACUGAGACACGGCCCAGACUCCUACGGGAGGCAGCAGUGGGGAAUAUUGGACAAUGGGCGAAAGCCUGAUCCAGCAAUGCCGCGUGAGUGAUGAAGGCCUUAGGGUUGUAAAGCUCUUUUACCCGGGAUGAUAAUGACAGUACCGGGAGAAUAAGCUCCGGCUAACUCCGUG